UUUCCGUAGGUGAACCUGCGGAAGGAUCAUUAAAAAUGAGGCCGGGAAACCGGUCCUUCUCACCCUUGAUUAUCUCAAAUUGUUGCUUUGGUGGGCCGCGCAAGCACCGGCUUCGGCUGGAUCGUGCCCGCCAGAGGACCACAACUCUGUAUUAUAUGUCGUCUGAGUACUAUAAAAUAGUUAAAACUUUCAACAACGGAUCUCUCGGUUCUG
rnacentral:misc_RNA from 1 species